rnacentral:lncRNA from 1 species
UUGCACUCGCAAGCUUGUGCAGUAUAAAAUUCUACUCCGGACAAUAUUCCCCAAUAUUCAUGCAAUAACCCUAUAUUACUACAUCAUAUACUAUAACGUUUUGAAAUGCCAAUAUACUUUUAAUGAAAUCAUGCCCUAGACCCGUUUUAAGUCAAAUAUAUACAUUUAGUUCAGAAAUGUCAAUGUUAAACAUUAGAUAGAUUGCAAGCCAUCAACCAUCUAUAAGUAGAAAGUGUUGCACACGAACUAUAUAUAUUGUUUUAAACAGUAUUUAU